ensembl:lncRNA SNAI3-AS1 SNAI3 antisense RNA 1
GCCUGGCGUCCGCGUCGGCGAUCCGGGGUCUGGGCGCGGCGAGGUCUGGUGUGGCAGAUGUGGAUAGCUGGACCCUCCUGGGUGCCUCUGCGUUAUGUCGUUUGGUUGAUGCAUUUGGAGAGAAUCUGUGCUCUCCACAACUGCAGGGGCAACAUGCUUUCCUGGCCUCUUCAGAUCAGGGUGGCUGUUCUUGGGUGCUGCACCAAAACUCCAGCAGUGGGCUUUCUUCAAGGUGAGCUGCAAGAUGGAAUCUGAGGCCCACCCGUCAGUAAGAGUUUCCUCCUGGUAUCCAUGGAAUCUACUGGUCUGUCUCACUUUGGCCUUUGACCCAGGCAGGGGUUCCUAACAUCUACAUCGGUCAUUCGGACAGCCUUGCUUUUGGUUCACUGCCUUACACGGGGCUUCCAGAUGUUGACCUGCUUCAUUUUACAGUAUCAGGAAAUCACUUUCCCCUCAGAAAGUAAGCAUGGGAAGCUGUUAGGCUUUUAGUGGAAGGUGAAAGUUUCCAAAUUUUCUUUUUCAUUAGACUGUGUAAGUUUUACCAUUGGCAGUAAGUUCUGUCUGUUGUUCCUCUUGAAGUGGCCGGCUCACCUCAUUCCUGCCAAGACCCAGGUCCGUGUUCUCACAGUGCUGCCAUCUUUCCUCCGUGUGAGCGUGGGCUGUGCGGAGAGUGGACCUCGGUGUGUGCGGGGCUGCGUGCACUGCCAUCGCUCCCUCUACACGAGCCGGCGUGGACCCAGGGCUGAGCUGUGACCACGAGGGCCAUCCCGACGAGCCGCCAUGGACCCAGGGCUGAGCUGUGACCAUGAGGGCUAUCCCGACGAGCUGCCGUGGACCCAGGGCUGAGCCGUGACCAUGAGGGCCAUCCCGAAACUGUGAUUGUUUUCUGAAUGUGGAAGCGUCGGCCGAGCGCGGUCCUUGGAGAACCCUUGCUGCGGAGAAUGACGCUCACUCUGCGGCCUGGCCUCGCCUCCCCAUCCCUUCUGCAAACUCACAGGACAGGAUUGAUGGGGAGAGCCCAGGCGAAACGAAGCUGACCCUAGUGACCAGCCCUACUGGCGGCUCUGGAACAGGCCCGGGACCGGUGGCCUGGAGACAGUGGUCCUUUCUGGAUGGGCUGCAGUCUCCGAAGGCUUCCCCCACUGGAGUCAGCCCUUUAGGAGUUUGUCCAGUGCCUCCAGAAAGCUGUUUUUUGGGGGACGGAGGACUUGGCCUGGAAUUCUGGAAUUCCCAGGGGGUCAGACAUGGUUAUGGGAAGUUUAAUAAAACCGGUGAAUCACGUGAAUUCUG